rnacentral:rRNA from 1 species
AACGUACGCUGGCGGCACGCCUAACACAUGCAAGUCGAACGAAGUAGCAAUACUCAGUGGCAGACGGGUGAGUAACAUGUAGGUAUCUGCCCUUUGGCCUGGAAUAACACGAGGAAACUUGUGCUAAUACCGGAUAAGUCUUUACGGAGAAAGCUUUAUGCACCAUUGGAUGAGCCUGCACUUGAUUAGUUUGUUGGUGGGGUAAUGGCCUACCAAGACUGUGAUCAAUAGCUGAUUUGAGAGGAUGAUCAGCCACAUUGGGACUGAGACACGGCCCAAACUCCUACGGGAGGCAGCAGUGGGGAAUCUUGCACAAUGGAGGAAACUCUGAUGCAGCGAUGCCGCGUGAGUGAAGAAGGCCCUUGGGUUGUAAAGCUCUUUCGUCGGGGAAGAAAAUGACUGUACCCGAAUAAGAAGGUCCGGCUAACUUCGUGCCAGCAGCCGCGGUAAUACGAAGGAACCUAGCGUAGUUCGGAAUUACUGGGCUUAAAGAGUUCGUAGGUGGUUGAAAAAGUUAGUGGUGAAAUCCCAGAGCUUAACUCUGGAACUGCCAUUAAAACUUUUCAGCUAGAGUAUGAUAGAGGAAAGCAGAAUUUCUAGUGUAGAGGUGAAAUUCGUAGAUAUUAGAAAGAAUACCAAUUGCGAAGGCAGCUUUCUGGAUCAUUACUGACACUGAGGAACGAAAGCAUGGGUAGCGAAGAGGAUUAGAUACCCUCGUAGUCCAUGCCGUAAACGAUGUGUGUUAGACGUUGGAAAUUUAUUUUCAGUGUCGCAGGGAAACCGAUAAACACACCGCCUGGGGAGUACGACCGCAAGGUUAAAACUCAAAUGAAUUGACGGGGACCCGCACAAGUAGUGGAGCAUGUGGUUUAAUUCGAAGAUACGCGCAGAACCUUACCAACACUUGACAUGUUCGUCGCGACUCUAAGAGAUUAGAGUUUUCGGUUCGGCCGGACGAAACACAGGUGCUGCAUGGCUGUCGUCAGCUCGUGUCGUGAGAUGUUGGGUUAAGUCCCGCAACGAGCGCAACCCUCACUUUUAGUUGCCAUCAUUAAGUUGGGCACUCUGAAAGAACUGCCAGUGAUAAGCUGGAGGAAGGUGGGGAUGACGUCAAGUCCUCAUGGCCCUUACGUGUUGGGCUACACACGUGCUACAAUGGUAUCUACAACAGGAAGCAAGACUGCGAAGUUAAGCAAAUCCCUAAAAGAUACCUCAGUUCGGAUUGCACUCUGCAACUCGAGUGCAUGAAGCUGGAAUUACUAGUAAUCGUGGAUCAGCGUGCCACGGUGAAUGCGUUCCCGGGUCU